ACGGAACCUAGCCCCUCUCUUCUCAGUUCUCACAGUCUCGCUCUCUGCACCCCCAGCGCCGGCGAGACCGUUCCUCCCACCACCUCGCAGCGCCGCGAAUCGUUCCUUCCAGCGCCGCCGAAUCUUUCCUCCCACUGCUCCCAGGACCUCCUCGCGGACAGAGAGAGCACCACGAAGCCCCAGCCACAGCCAGCGCCCAGCAGCCCAGCACCACCCUCGCACAGUCGCACCCAGCUGGCCAGCAGUAGCACAGCACCACCCACUCACCCAGGACCACCCAGCGGACAGAGCACCACGCCACCACCCAGCAGCGUUUCUGGCCACCCACAACACAACACCUCCCACCCAGUCACCGAUUCAAGUCAGAGAUGGAGCCCGAGCCACCGAGUCAGGUAUAAAGGUGGACCAGCAUUACCGAAGAAGUUGAUCUCACAGGGUGCUGCACAGAAGCAAUAUAGUGUUGAGGUUCACCCACUCAUUUUGAAGUUGACUGAUGCCAAAGAUAAAGAGUGUGUCAACUGUAAAAUUAAGCAAAAAGGCGAACAUAAGGGAACUAUAUGAACUGGUGUGCAAAAUCAAAGGAGUAGAACAAAAAAAGGCAUGUGACGACGACGUUCUCUUUGGAUUGGAUCUCAAGAACGGCAGUUCUACGACAACUUUGAGAGUAAGAAGGGAAGAGUUACUGAAAGACGAUAGUGAAAAAAGAGGUAAAGGCACAUUUUCCUGAUUAAUAAAAAGCUAGGCAAAAGAAUUAGGAAUUUUUUAUUUUAAAUUAAUUAUAAAAGACAAUUCAGUAACUAGCUAAAAAGAUAUGCCAUAUCAUUAAAAUUCCGUAGUCAUUUUAAUAUUUUUUUCAAAAAAAUAAUUUAAUGAAUUCAAAGACAUGUUUAUCAAUUUUAAAAUUUUUUCAAAAAUUAUUUUAUCAAUAAUAUUAUUCAAAUACUAAUUUAUCAAUGUCAAAAUCUUUUAAAAUAUUAAAUUAAUAUUGGUGUUUGUUACGGUAUGAUGAUAAAUUUAUACGUACUGAUAUAAUAAAAAUGUUGACAAAUUAA